GCAGCAGCCACGGGAAUACGGAGGGUGCAAGCGUUAAUCGGAAUUACUGGGCGUAAAGCGCACGCAGGCGGUCUGUCAAGUCAGAUGUGAAAUCCCCGGGCUUAACCUGGGAACUGCAUUUGAAACUGGCAGGCUAGAGUCUUGUAGAGGGGGGUAGAAUUCCAGGUGUAGCGGUGAAAUGCGUAGAGAUCUGGAGGAAUACCGGUGGCGAAGGCGGCCCCCUGGACAAAGACUGACGCUCAGGUGCGAAAGCGUGGGGAGCAAACAGGAUUAGAUACCCCUGUAGUUCCUGUCUCUUAUAC
rnacentral:rRNA from 1 species